rnacentral:lncRNA from 1 species
AAUAAUGCUCAAAAAAUUACGGGAUCUGGAUUGUAAUGCAUUUUUUUUAUAAUUCUCAUAUCAUAGUUGCGCGUGAAGUUAGGCGUAUUGAUGACAGUUGAUUUUCAGUUCACCAACGGCAGGCGAGUCUUCGCGAAUAUGCCUACCCGAGCGAUAUGGGAGCGAUAUAUUUUUGCAAAUAUUUUGACGCGAUGGCAGCGCCAUGUGGUAGAAUGAAGAAAUAUUAAUGAAAGCAGUCGUGUUGACGGAUGUCAUUGUCAUUUCAUCCAAGAAUGCAAGGAAAAAAAAUUUUAAUUUCAAUUUCAAUGUAUAAUUUUUAUUUUCGCCUAAUUUUUCAGGGAUCAAAAGACGCAAACAAAACAUCUUUAUACGUAUAUUCAAAGAAUAAUUUGUAUUAAGCAAACCUUAGUCAAUACAGGUGAUUCUGGAUAUGCUCUAAGUCAGUUGAUGUUGACAUCCAUCCAAAAUGCAUUACCUGCUACUCUAGAAGAAAUAUUCAUCACAGAAGAACUGAAUCCCCUAUAGAGAGAUGCAAUGGGAUUUUAAAAUGGAGGCAUAGAAUUUUACACUCCAACCAUGGCUGAAUAAAAUAAAUAAUAAUGCAUGCACUGUGCUGCACAAUUUGUGCAUUGGUAUGCAUAAUGUACCCCCUAUUGGUUUAGGUGAUGAAGAAAACAAUCAUAUAGAUAUUGAUUAUGGAAAUGUCAAUGGAAUAAAUAUAGAAGGUAGAAUUCGUGAUAGAGAUCUGCUCACAGGAAGAAGACUCCAACAAAUGCUAAUUCAAAUUAAUUUUAGAAAUUAAUUCAAUAAGUUUGGAAAAAUGUAUGUUCUGUGUUAUUUGUACUUUAUGUAAAUAUUGUUCUGAAGCUAUUUUCUUGUGGCAUUUUUAUGAUUAACUAUUUAGAAGGGAAAUAAGCCACAAUUAAAUUGAAAAAAAUAAUUUUCGACGUCCAAAUCGGGUGUCGUUGUCAAAAUACAAAAGACUACUAAAUUAAACAAAAAUGUUGCUAAGUAAAAAAUUCUUCUAAUAAUUUAUUUAAUCUGACUCAUUUAUAUUGGCAAUUCAGACAUAUAUUAUACAUUUUAAAGUAGAAGACUUUAAAAUGAUAUUGCCAAUAUUUAUGAGUUGCGUUCCUGGGACGACUUAACUGAAAGAUAGUUCAUUCGAUUACAUGAAAUCAUCCUCAACUCAAGAAUAUCCAUCACAAAAAAAAUCAUAGCAUGUGAUCUGUCUUUAAAAAGACAACCAAAUGCAAAAAAAGUGAUUUACUAUGGAAUCUCUAACGCGAGAAUUUUACUGUCAUCGUUGCAUUUGGUUGUCUUUUUAAAGACAGAUCACAUGCUAUGAUUUUUUUUUUGUGACGGAUAUUCUUGAGUUGAGGUUGAUUUCAUGUAAUCGAAUGAACUAUCUUUCAGUAAAUUCGUCCCAGGAACGCAACUCAUAAAUAUUGGCAAUAUCAUUUUAAAGUCUUCUACUUUAAAAUGUAUAAUAUAUGUCUGAAUUGCCAAUAUAAAUGAGUCAAAUUAAAUAAAUUAUUAGAAGAAUUUUUUACUUAGCAACAACAUUUUUGUUUAAUUUAGUAGUAUUUUGUAUUUUGACAACGACAUCCGAGUUGGGUGUCGAAACGUUAAUAAAAUUAUUUAUUUAAUUGUGGCUUAUUUCCUAUCUAAAUAGUUAAUUAUGUAAAUAUGUAGUGUGUUAGCUGUUGUUUUAUGAACAACAUAAAACAUUAUGUGAAAUAUUGACUGUAUGUUAUCCAUGACACAGAACAAAAGUUAAAAUGCAUGUUUUUACAUUUGUAGCCUUUUAAUAACCUUAUCAUAAUAUAAUAAAAUAAAUGCAAAGAAAUUUAUGUCUCAGUAAGUUGGAACCAUGGACGUAUAAAUAAAGAUAUAUCUUUAUUUAUACGUCCAUGGUUGGAACCAUAUGAAAAACUUUUUUAUUAUCAAUUUUAGGAACAAGUUAUUCUUUAUAAAAGCUUUGCAUGAUUUGAAACCUUUAAACAACCAUCAAAUAUAAAAAAUUUUCAGUUGUAUACUAGGUUUGUCAAAAAAUAUGAAUUUUAUUAAAGAGUAAACUACCUUUCAUUUUUCACAAUA